GCGGUCGUGGCGGAAUUGGCAGACGCGCUGGAUUUAGGAUCCAGUUCUUUAUGAGUAGGGGUUCAAGUCCCCUCGACCGCACCA
rnacentral:tRNA from 1 species